GCUGUGAUGACUCUUAUAAUGUUGAUCUUAUGAAAUGAUCAUGUUCUCUAAGAAGUUCUGAGCUU
ensembl:snoRNA small nucleolar RNA, C/D box 61